AAAAGAGUUUGAGCCUCCCUCGCGAAGGGAAGCCGCGCACUUCGAACGAGUCCCGACUGAGCGGUCACUCCCGAAGACGUCCACGCUGCGCUCGCCGGCCCUCUCGAUCACGCGAAUUCGCGAGCUCCGGAGGCACCAGCCAGAAGGCAGCGGCGCACAAGAACAGCGCGGAGGACUCGUCUUGAGGAUCUAGGUGCGCAAGGCCGAUCAUGUCUGCAACUGGGCUGCUCCUCUUCGGCGUCCUCGUCUUUUCAGUUUGCCUGACUGCAGCACAAGAAAAUCCGGACGACGUGAGCGAAGAGCGCUUCGCCCCGGAGCAGAAGCGGCCCUUCUGCAACGCCUUCACUGGUUGCGGAGGAAAGAGGUCCCAGUUCAGGACGCGCAACCUGAUAUCCGUGCUGCGGCAGGGGAUACUGGAUGAAGCGACUAGGAGUCACCAGCGCUACCGGAGCAAAUUUCCAGAGGACGUAGGCAGCCGCAAUGCUUUGGAUGCGGGCGAUCUCCGGAGCGGUGCCAUAUUGGUGAAUCUACCCAGCCUGCUGCGGAAGCGGAGGUUCGCCAUGAAUGGCCCAUAGCUCGAAGUGGGCCACGCUCAUCACAUUCCAAGCAUCAUUAGCACAGCGCUCCCAGACGACCGAUCAAGAAACAAAAUCCGCUUGUCUCAGCAGCACUGUCCGGGAUGGCCUUGGCGUUUCCGGUGGCCGCUAGCCGCAAGAAACGCACCAGCGACACUCGCUAGUGCUUGGCGACACCGUGACACUUUGCCAGGGACGGUGCCAGCUGUCCUUGGUCAUGCCUUUGAGCAAUGCCUGCAACUUCCAUGCUCUCCAGCCAAUGAUGUAGCUGUGCAUCUUGACAGGGCUCUUACAGGCCUGCUACUGCCCACACCUCUUUUGCAACCCUGGCUAAAUGCACUCCAAUAAACACUUUCCUCAAACAUGACAACAA